rnacentral:rRNA from 1 species
UGGGGAAUAUUGGUCAAUGGACGAGAGUCUGAACCAGCCAUGCCGCGUGAAGGAUGAAGGCGUUCUGCGUUGUAAGCUUCUUUUGCGGGGCAAGAAACCUUGCUAUUCUUAUCAAGCCGCCGGUACCCCGAGAAUAAGCAACGGCUAACUCCGUGCCAGCAGCCGCGGUAAUACGGAGGGUGCAAGCGUUAUCCGGAUUUACUGGGUUUAAAGGGUGUGUAGGCGGAUUAUUAAGUCAGCGGUGAAAUCUCCAGGCUCAACCUGGAAACUGCCAUUGAUACUAUCAGUCUUGAAUAUUGUUGAGGUGGGCGGAACUAGUAAUGUAGCGGUGAAAUUCAUAGAUAUGACCAGGAACACCGGUUGCGAAGGCAGCCCACUAAGCAAUGAUUGACGAUGAGGCACGAAAGCGUGGGGAUCAAACA